AAAGCUGCGCUGGCCGCUCGCGGAGGGAGAGGCUGCAGAGCGAGGGCAGGAGACAAAUGACCGGGAGCCAUGACGUCAUCGGGGGCGCAGGAAAGCAGGUGCUCUGCUGCUUUUGCAAGCAGAGAAAUAAGAGUUUGGGCACCUACCCAGGGGUCCCAGGGAAUGCCCUGUGGCUCCUGACCUCCCCCGCCUGUAAUGCUCUGAGCACUUCAGCAGUAAUGCAUGGAAGAGAUAAGGGUCUGUGACCCAUGGAACUGUCCAAGUCCUCUCUGACACCCGCUUCUUUUCCUGCCGUGAAGGCUGGAGUUCUGUGGCGUAAUCACGGCUCACUGCAGCCUCAACCUCCCAGACUCAAGCGAUCCUCCCACCUCAGCCUCCCAAGUAGUUGGGACUACAGGACUACUUCCAGCAACCCAGUCUCCUGCCAUGUCCGACCCCAUCACGCUGAACGUCGGGGGGAAGCUCUAUACAACCUCACUGGCGACCCUGACCAGCUUCCCUGACUCCAUGCUAGGCGCCAUGUUCAGCGGGAAGAUGC
rnacentral:lncRNA from 1 species